CUGCCACCUUAGAGCAGGUAUAUUUUGGAACUUCACAUCCAAGAUACUAUAUCUCUGCCAAUGUAACUGGUUUCAAAUGUGUGACAGGAAUGUCUUGUUUAAUGAGAAAAGAUGUGUUGGAUCAAGCAGGAGGACUUAUAGCUUUUGCUCAGUACAUUGCCGAAGAUUACUUUAUGGCCAAAGCGAUAGCUGACCGAGGUUGGAGGUUUGCAAUGUCCACUCAAGUUGCAAUGCAAAACUCUGGCUCAUAUUCAAUUUCUCAGUUUCAAUCCAGAAUGAUCAGGUGGACCAAACUACGAAUUAACAUGCUUCCUGCUACAAUAAUUUGUGAGCCAAUUUCAGAAUGCUUUGUUGCCAGUUUAAUUAUUGGAUGGGCAGCCCACCAUGUGUUCAGAUGGGAUAUUAUGGUAUUUUUCAUGUGUCAUUGCCUGGCAUGGUUUAUAUUUGACUACAUUCAACUCAGGGGUGUCCAGGGUGGCACACUGUGUUUUUCAAAACUUGAUUAUGCAGUCGCCUGGUUCAUCCGCGAAUCCAUGACAAUAUACAUUUUUUUGUCUGCAUUAUGGGACCCAACUAUAAGCUGGAGAACUGGUCGCUACAGAUUACGCUGUGGGGGUACAGCAGAGGAAAUCCUAGAUGUAUAACUACAGCUUUGUGACUGUAUAUAAAGGAAAAAAGAGAAGUAUUAUAAAUUAUGUUUAUAUAAAUGCUUUUAAAAAUCUACCUUCUGUAGUUUUAUCACAUGUAUGUUUUGGUAUCUGUUCUUUAAUUUAUUUUUGCAUGGCACUUGCAUCUGUG
rnacentral:lncRNA from 1 species